rnacentral:rRNA from 1 species
GUAAAGAGCUCGUAGGUGGUUCGUCACGUCGGAUGUGAAACUCUGGGGCUUAACCCCAGACCUGCAUUCGAUACGGGCGAGCUUGAGUAUGGUAGGGGAGUCUGGAAUUCCUGGUGUAGCGGUGGAAUGCGCAGAUAUCAGGAGGAACACCAAUGGCGAAGGCAGGACUCUGGGCCAUUACUGACACUGAGGAGCGAAAGCGUGGGGAGCGAACAGGAUUAGAUACCCUGGUAGUCCACGCCGUAAACGGUGGGCACUAGUUGUGGGGACCUUCCACGGUCUCUGCGACGCAGCUAACGCAUUAAGUGCCCCGCCUGGGGAGUACGAUCGCAAGAUUAAAACUCAAAGGAAUUGACGGGGCCCCGCACAAGCAGCGGAGCAUGCGGCUUAAUUCGACGCAACGCGAAGAACCUUACCAAGGCUUGACAUAUACAGGAAUAUGGCAGAGAUGUCAUAGCCGCAAGGUCUGUAUACAGGUGGUGCAUGGUUGUCGUCAGCUCGUGUCGUGAGAUGUUGGGUUAAGUCCCGCAACGAGCGCAACCCUCGUUCUGUGUUGCCAGCAUUUAGUUGGGGACUCACAGGAGACUGCCGGGGUUAACUCGGAGGAAGGUGGGGAUGACGUCAAAUCAUCAUGCCCCUUAUGUCUUGGGCUGCACGCAUGCUACAAUGGCUGGUACAAACGGCUGCAAUACCGCAAGGUGGAGCGAAUCCGAGAAAGCCAGUCUCAGUUUGGAUUGGGGUCUGCAACUCGACCCCAUGAAGUCGGAGUUGCUA